rnacentral:rRNA from 1 species
UACGAAGGGUGCAAGCGUUAAUCGGAAUUACUGGGCGUAAAGGGUGCGUAGGCGGUUGUUUAAGUCUGUCGUGAAAUCCCCGGGCUCAACCUGGGAAUGGCGAUGGAUACUGGACAGCUAGAGUGUGUCAGAGGAUGGUGGAAUUCCCGGUGUAGCGGUGAAAUGCGUAGAGAUCGGGAGGAACAUCAGUGGCGAAGGCGGCCAUCUGGGACAACACUGAUGCUGAAGCACGAAAGCGUGGGGAGCAAACAGG